UUGGCUCGCAACCCAUUCAGAUAUUCCUGAGAUCCACUUUUGGGUUGCGACCCAUAUGUUGAGAAACACUGGUCUAUAGGACCACUGCUUCAUUUAUUACAGAAUUAGUAUUAGGAAAAUGCAGAUAGAUGGAGAAUGGGGUCAUGGUAAGGUGGCUAAAUUUUAUCCCUGUUUCCACUACCACAUUCUGAUGGGAUGCUGGAGGAAUUAUUUGCAGUGGACAUUUCUCAGGUGAUCAUUAUUUAUGUGCUUCUUAUUUUGUGGGUGUCUGAUUUACAGAAAUGCUGUGCACUCCCAACUGUAAUGGAAGCCAAUGGUAGCUGUGAAUCAAACAAAGUUCUAGCUAAUGUUAAUUUUUCUGAAAACAGGAUUUUGCUGUCUCAAACUAAGCACCCCAAAUUAGUGGACACUUCUGACCUUAAUCUCUUUGAGACUCAGUUCCCUAUUUACAAAAUUGAUUCCCACUCAUCCCACAGGAUGUUUACAAAAAUACUCUAUGCAGUUUUUGUGAAAUGUUGAACUGAUGAGAACACUAAAAAGCGUCUAAGCAAAUUAAUAUUUUUCCUCCAUGCUAGUUUGAACAAGAUGCAAUUAAAACAAGAGAUUGAGUAAUGAGAACAAAACAAAAUAUCCCAUAGUUAAUGUUUGAGUGAGCCCCACCCGGUCCAUGCACUGAAUGAAGAGGGAUGGGGAUUUGCUUGUGAAAAAAGGAGGAAUCUGAAUAAUUAUUGCCUCAGAAUUCAAACAGCAAGGGAACAGUAUUAAAUUUGCACAGGCAACCCUAAUUAUGACAUUUUUCUAACUUCUGAGUACUUGAUUUUAUUUUAGUGUAGAUUUUGAAUUUGAAUUUCUGGCUUGAUACAUAGGCUACUAGACUCAUAAAAAAGGAAACAGCAACAGCAGGAACAUAAAUAUGUUUCUCCCAGGCUAUGGGAUACUACAUCAUUAUGUUCUUGCCAGCUCCUGACCUAUAACAAACUAAGCAUAACCUGUCUCCCCACAUCCCUCUAAUGAAUUGACCCGAACAUUAGGUGUUUUUCCCCUAAGACAAGUUAAUUCCUGGCCCUUAAUGAGACCAAUAUUUUUAUCAUCAUCCACCUGAAUUCUGCUACACUAAUGUCACAAUUAAACAAUAUGCAAAAUUAUUUCAGUUAAAUUAAACCAUAUGCAGUUGCCUUUGAGGAUCCUGCUUAACUCAAAAGUUUCCACUGGGAAAAAGCUUCCCAAAGAGGAGAUUUGGAGAGGAUCCAUCUACUCAUAAGAAUUAGAAGAUAAGAAGAGGACUUUUGCUGGCAACUAGAGAGAGAAAAUAGUUCCUCAGAUAAAAGUUCCAGUAUAUUAUUAUAUUAAAUGUAUUUCUGGCGGUCUAAAUGGGAAGACAUCACCAUACUGAUUCUCAACACUUCUAUCUAUGCACUGCCUACUGCAGUGUCUCAGAAGUACCAUGUUUUCAGAAGUGAUCUUCCAGUGGAUAAUAUAAAAACACUGUGUUCCUCUGCCAAAUACACAAAUGCAUUUGGGAGGUAUUUA